AUUUUUUGUGUGUGUGGUUCUUUUUGCUUCUUUCUUCCUUCUUUUUCUUCUUUCACAGAGAAAGAGAGAGAAAUAGAGAAACGAGAGAGGCAGGAGGAAGAGAGGAGAAGAAAACAAAGAGAGAGGGCCAUGGAACCGCCAUGGACGGAGAUCGCGAAAUUUGUAUCUUUUUUCUCUUGGAUUCGUGAUGUCAGAAGUGUAGCCUCUCAACUUCAGAUCUCCUUCUCUUGGCUAAAUCCCUAGCCUCAAAAUCUCUUCCUCCUCUUUGGAAUGUAUUUCCUCCUGUUUCUUUUAGUUCUUUAAUUGCUUUUGAUGUAAGUUCCUUUGGUUCUUAAUGCAAUGCUUCAACAGUUUUUCAAAAAAAGAUCUCUAUCUUUUUCCUCUCCUCUAUCUCUUGGACUGAUUUAAAACAGAUCUGUAUCAAUUGGAAGAAGAAAAGAACUGAUCAGGAAGAAGAAAAAAAACAGAUCAAAACAGAGAAGAAGAAAAAAAAAAAAAA